rnacentral:rRNA from 1 species
GACGAACCGUGCGAACGUUGUUCGGAUUCACUGGGCUUAAAGGGCGCGUAGGCGGGCGGUCAAGUCGGGGGUGAAAUCUUUCAGCUUAACUGGAAAAGUGCCUCCGAUACUGAUCGCCUCGAGGGAGGUAGGGGCAUGUGGAACUUCCGGUGGAGCGGUGAAAUGCGUAGAUAUCGGAAGGAACGCCGGUGGCGAAAGCGACGUGCUGGACCUCUUCUGACGCUGGAGGCGCGAAAGCUAGGGGAGCAAACGGG